rnacentral:miRNA from 1 species
GGAUGUGUGUGUGUGUGCGUGUGUGCGUGUGUGUGUGUGUGUGUGUGUGUGUGUGUGUACGCGCGCGCGCGCACACACACACUCCCACA